rnacentral:rRNA from 1 species
AUUGAACGCUGGCGGCAGGCCUAACACAUGCAAGUCGAGCGGAAACGAGUUAACUGACCCUUCGGGUGACGUUAACGGCGUCGAGCGGCGGACGGGUGAGUAAUGCCUGGGAAAUUGCCCUGAUGUGGGGGAUAACCAUUGGAAACGAUGGCUAAUACCGCAUAAUGCCUUCGGGCCAAAGAGGGGGACCUUCGGGCCUCUCGCGUCAGGAUAUGCCCAGGUGGGAUUAGCUAGUUGGUAAGGUAAAAGCUUACCAAGGCGACGAUGGGUAGCCGGCCUGAGAGGGUGAACGGCCACACUGGAACUGAGACACGGUCCAGACUCCUACGGGAGGCAGCAGUGGGGAAUAUUGCACAAUGGGGGAAACCCUGAUGCAGCGACGCCGCGUGAGCGAUGAAGGUUUUCGAAUCGUAAAGCUCUGUCCUAUGGGAAGAAUAAUGACGGUACCAUAGGAGGAAGCCCCGGCUAACUACGUGCCAGCAGCCGCGGUAAUACGUAGGGGGCGAGCGUUGUCCGGAAUCAUUGGGCGUAAAGGGUGCGUAGGCGGCCUAGUAAGUCAGAUGUGAAAGCCAUCGGCUCAACCGAUGUAAGCAUUUGAAACUAC